rnacentral:lncRNA from 1 species
CAGCUAUAAGUUCGUGGAGACGAGCAGCGCCACUGCCCUCGAGCUCGGAAAUGCCACUGCAACUUGGAAUAUUGCCGUAUCUUUGCUUAUUCAAAAGCUCCUGAUUGAUAUUAAGACACUCCUCAAGACAAUUGGGCUCAUUGUUGAGUGGACUCUAAACUUCCUCUCCCUUAAUGGGGGCUUAUUCGGCAUAAUCCGACGUAUCAUCACGUG